GACGAACGCUGGCGGCGUGCUUAACACAUGCAAGUCGAACGGAAAGGCCCUGCUUUUGUGGGGUGCUCGAGUGGCGAACGGGUGAGUAACACGUGAGUAACCUGCCCUUGACUUUGGGAUAACUUCAGGAAACUGGGGCUAAUACCGGAUAGGAGCUCCUGCUGCGUGGUGGGGGAUGGAAAGUUUCGGCGGUUGGGGAUGGACUCGCGGCUUAUGAGCUUGUUGGUGGGGUAGUGGCUUACCACGGCUAUGACGGGUAGCCGGCAUGAGAGCCUGACCGGCCACAUUGGGACUGAGAUACGGCCCAGACUCGUACGGGACGCAGCAGUGGGGAAUAUUGCACAAUGGGCGGAAGUCAGAGGCAGCAAUGCCGCGUGCGUGAUGCCGGCCUUCGGGUUGUAAACCGCUUUGGCCGGUGACGAAGCGUGAGUGACGGUAAUGGGUAAAGAAGCACCGGCUAACUACGUG
rnacentral:rRNA from 1 species